AAGGAUCUUGCUUAUAAAAAUGGAGUGAUUGCUUCUCGGCCUUUUGGCUAAGAUCAAGUGUGUAAAAAUGGAGCGAGCUAGGAGCUGGAGAGAUGGCUUAAUGGAU
rnacentral:miRNA from 14 species